UUUCCAACAUACCUCACACCCUGACGAUGCCUGCCAUAGAUGUGGGUGAAACGCCAGGAGAGAAUGCUUCUGGAACAUGGCCCUACAGCCCGAAAAAUACACAGUAACCCAGACAUUUCUUUACAUUUUGAGUUUCUUCCUUUGAGUAUAUGGCAGUGUGGACUCUGGACCCCUCCACACAGCCAUAUAACCCAGAAUAUCAAGGCAGAAAAUCCCACAAGAUCUACUUUGAACUGGGGCCCCUUCCACACAGCUGAAGAAAAUUCCACAUUAUCUGCUUUGAACUGGAAUAUAUGGCAGCAUGGACUCAGAUAUCCCAGUUCAAAGCAGAUAUUGUGGGCUUAAAGAACUGGGCAUGUUUAGCCUGCAGAAGAGAAGGCUGAGAGGAGGCAUGAUAGCCAUGCAUAGAAAGUCAUAAGAAGGAGGGAGCAAACUUGUUUUCUGCUAUGCUGGAGACUAGAAAGCAAUGGAAUAAUGGCUUCAAACUACAGAAAAGGAGAUUCACCUGAACUUCCUGACUGUGGGAGCUGUUUAUCAGUGAAACUCUCUGCCCCGGAGUGUGGUGGAGGCUCCUUCUUUGAAGACUUUUAAGCAGAGGCUGGAUGGCCAUCUGUCGGGGGUGCUUUGAAUACGAUUUUCCUGCUUCUUGGCAGAGGGUUGGACUGGAUGGCCUACGAGGACUCUUCCAACUCUUAUGAAUUUCUGCCUUGAUAAUCUGGGUUAUAUGGCUGCGUGGAAGGGCCCUGAGUCCACAGUUCAAAGCCAAUAAUGUGGGAUUUUAUUCAGCUGUGUGGAAGGGGCAUUCGAUAACCCAGGGUCCUUAGUCAGUGGCUGAUACUAAAUGAGAAACUCCCUCCUGGGCACACAGAAGACUGGGUGACUUUGAAGGCGCUGAACAGACUGUGCUAUUUUUAUUUAUUUAUUACAACAUUUAUAUCCUGCCCUUCUCACCCGAGAGGGAACUCAGGGCGGCUUACAAUAAACACACAUAUAAAAAUUAUACACUACACUAUACAUCAGAUUAAAAUUAUUAACUUACAUCAACAUUAAUAAAAACAUUCUAAAAUACAAAUAGGUGUGUUCAAGUUCAAAAGACUGGGUCUGUCAACUGAGUUCUGGCAUACAUAAUAAUAAUUAGCGCUGCUAAUUAGCGUUGACUGGACAGGAAAAGGCUCCUGUCCAGUCAACAUCCGGGUGGCCAUCUGCCGGGAGGGAUCGGAUGGUGUCUAUGGCACCACGAGAUGCAGAGCUAACCUUAAGAAAUGAGGCUUCAAAGUGGAGCCCACAACAUGUGCGUGUGGAGAACAGCAAACCACAGACCACUUACUACAAUGCAGCCUGAGCCCUGCCACAUGCACAAUGGAGGGCCUUCCUAUAGCAUCACCAGAGGCACUCCAAGCGGCCAGCUUCUGAUCAAAGGAAAUUUAGUAAAAUAUCACGUUUUUAACUUUGUGGUUUUUCAUGUAUUAUAACUGUAUUCUCAAUUCGCUUCUAACACGUUAAAUAAGCUCAAAUGUCUGGUUCCGUGCCAAACAGAGGUAUGGAUCUUAGGAAACAAAAAUGCAAAACUCAAGGGACAAAGUGCUGAUUUGGGUAAUCAAAAACUUGGCUGUCAAUAAAAGUAUUAAUGAAUGCACACACUCUAAGCUUCUAUUUAUGUGAAGGAGCUGCAGACUUUCAGCUUCUUGUGAAUUGUACCGCAUUUUGGGCUUAUCUGACUGGCAAGGGAAGUCACUUAUUUUGCAUAAAUACAUACAUACAGUGAAUCUGAUAGUUAUCUGGCGUGAGAAAUAACCAGAGGGAUUUGCCCAGCCUUUUCCAUUCUCAGGAGACUAUCUGAACAGGGUCACAGAGGGGUGAGUGUUUUUAAAUUACAUUUUGAUACAUUUUAGCAGUUUAUAUACAUUUCAUAUAUAAGAAAUAGAUACAGUACACAGUUGAAAGAUGCAAGUUACACAAAAUCAUAAAGUUGAUACAGUUUAUUGAAGGAUAUGAUAGAGUUUAGGGUUUAACAGCUGUUGGUUUGGUCUCAGUCUUCUGAUGCUUUGAACUUGCGCAAGUCCAGAAAGGGUCUUUUAAAAAUGAAAAAAAUCAUAUAUUUAUUUCCAAGCCCUUGGUGAACUAUAAAUCUUCAAGGGUGGGAGUUACCAUAGCUUGAUAACGUAAGCAUUUCAGACUUUCUUCCUAGAUAUGCUGGUCAUUUGUUUCAGUUCUUCUCCAGUGAUUUCUUCCCUGUUCUAAAUUCUUAUCCAUGUCCCUUAGCUCAGUUGAAAGUUCUUUAGUCAUCCAUUCCAUCACUGCUCGAUCAUCACUGUUGGUUAAGAUCAGAUCUAAAAUAGCUGAUCCCCUUGUUGCUUCAGGACAAUGUAAUGAUCUACAAGACAGGUGAGGAAUUUGUUGGACCUUAUAUUCCUAGCAGAGUUUGACUUCCAAUAAGUAUCAGAAUAGUACACUAAUACUACAUCUCUCUGACAUAAUGGACCCAUACGUGAACUCUGGAAUAUUAGUCCUUGAGGAAGCCUAUGUGUGUGCACUGUGCAUGAGAAGACAUGUAUGGCCACAAGAGGGCACUUUUAAAACUCCUAUCAGAAGUCAGGGAAGGACAUUUUAUUGGGCUGUGUGCUGAACAAUGGUUUAUUUAAUGAAUCACUCGUUUAUUGAUAUGCUUAUAUUUGUAAAGAUACCUAUGUUUCACCUAUUUGGAUUAUCAAGAAAUAAGCCAGAACAUUUUAAAAAUCAUACUUAUCCCCUUGUUGCUUCAGGACAAUGUAAUAAUCUACAAAGUAGGUGAGGAAUUUGUUGGACCUUAUAUUCUUUGCAGAGUUUGACUUCCAAAAAGUAUCAGGAUAGUUGAAAUCUUCCACUAAUACUACACCUCUCAAUAAUGAAUCUAUAUGUGAACAGUGAAAUGUUACUGGUACUCCAUGCAGAAGUGCAUGUGUGUGCAUGAGAAGACAUGUCUGGCCACAAGAGGGCACUUUUAGAACUCUUUUCUACCAGAAUUCAGGUAAGAACGUUUUAUUGAGCUGUGUGCUGAUCAUUUUUUUUAGUGAAUCACUCAUUUAUUGAUAUGCUUGUAUUUGUAAGGAGCCUCUAGUAAUGCAGCGGGUUAAACCGCUGAGCUGUGAAACUUGCUGACCAAAUGGUUGGUGGUUCGAAUCUGGGGAGCGGGUGGACUCCCAUUGUUAGCCCCAGCUUCUGCCAACCUAGCAGUUUGAAAACAUACAAAAUGUGAGUAGAUCAAUGGGUACCGCUCCUGUGGGAAGGUAACGGUGCUCCAUGCAGUCAUACCGGCCACAUGGCCUUGGAGGUGUCAAUAGACAACGUUGGCUCUUCGGCUUAGAAAUGGAGCAGAGUCAAACACGUCUAGACUUAAUGUCAGGGGAAAACCUUUACCGUAUAUUUGUAAAGAUACCUAUGUUUCACCUACUUGGAGUCUCAAGAACUAAGGCAGAUAGUUUUUUUUAUUUUAUCUGAGCCUACACAAACUAUAAAAUUUCUUUGAAAUAUCUUCACAAUUCAAGGACAUACUUAAAAUUAAACAAACCCUUGCUCAAGGAAUCUAAACAGUUCUUUCUCACUAGUUUACUAGAAUAGGAAAUACUCCAUAAAUCUAAAGCAUUGGCAUCAUUGUCAAAGUUCAACACAGCCAUCCUGACCAGUUGUAGAAGUUUUCCAGUUAUUAUAAACCUUGGGUAUCUGAAUGAUUCACUGGAAUGCACUAUCUAAUGUACCAUAAAGAAAUAUGCUGUAAGAUAAUGUGUACCUGGCAAAGGUGUAGGAAUCUAUAUGCACAUUUCUGUUGCAGUGGUACAUGUUUAUACAAGAGUAUGGUUAUCGAUACUAGUGUCUAUAUGAUUUUAUUUAUACAUUUUCUAUCAUGUUUCCUCCCUCAGAUCUAUAACUCAGGGUGACAACAAGAACCAGGUCCUGUCUACAUGGACUUCAUAGCUUCUUUGAUCCUGACACACAAUAUUUUUCAUGUCAGGAGCAACUUGAGAAACUGCAAGUUACUCCUGGUGUAAGAGAAUUGACCUUCUGCAAUGAUGUUGCCCAGGGGAUGCCCAGAUGUUUUGAUGUUUUUACCAUCCUUGUGAGAGGCUUCUCUCAUGUCCCUGCAUGGAGCUGGAGCUGAUAAAGGAAUCUCAUCCACGCUUUCCCCAGGUUGGAUUCGACCUGGCAACCUUCAGGUAGCUGUAUGGAGCAACAACUGGAGAUGGAGCCUAAAAGGCUGGAAGGGACACCAGCAGAGGGUGAGAAUAGGAAACAAAUCAGGCGGCUCUCACUGCAGCUUGGGUUCAUGAUUCUGCAGUGGAUAGUCUUGCUCAUCUGCCUUGUCCUCGUUGGUUUGUGUUACUUUAAGAGCCCAGGUCCACAGACACAAUGGAUAUUUAUCAAGAAUAGCAGACAGCAAUACUGAAGAAUUACAUCUUUAUACUGUUUGAGUAUUGAACUAUGACUUUGGAAAGCAGGGUUCAGCUAUGGAAACUCACAGGGUAACCUCAGGGAAGUUACACUCUCUCAGCCUUAGAAGAUGACAAACCCAAAGCCUCUGCGAAAAAACUUGCCAAGAACACCCAAAUGAGCUCUAUACUCUAGGUUCAUGAAGUACUUGUGUGUGAAACAUAAGAAUGAUCAUGGAUUUUGAUGAAAAUACAACAGCUAACCAACCCUAUUUUUUUCCUCACCCAUUAGAAACUGCAGAUGAAGUUCUCAGCUGGUCAGUUCUAGUAGCAAAGCUUGAUUAUUCCCUUCUGUGCUCUCUUACACUCAGGCCACAAUUGAACAUAAGAACAGUUCAAAUAAAGAUAUUAAUGUGUUGGAAGAUUUUUUUAUUGUGUCAGAAGUGACUUAAGAACAUACUGCAAGUUGCUUCUGGUGUGAGGAUUAGCCAUCUACAGAGCCUCUGGUGGUGCGGUGGAUUAAACCGCUGAACUUGCUGACUGAAAGGUUGAUGGUUUGAGUCCAGAGAGUGGGAUGAGCUCCCGCAGUUAGCCCCAGCUUCUGCCAACCCAGCAGUUUGAAAACAUGCAAAUGUGAGUAGAUCAAUAGAUACCGCUUCAGCAGGAAGGUAAAGGCACUCCAUGCAGUCAUGCUGGCCCCAUGACCUUGGAAGUGUCUACGGACAAAACCAGCUCUUCAGUUUAGAAGUGGAGAUGAGCACCAACCCCCAGGGUCGGACACAACUAGACUUAAUGUCAGGGGGAAACCUUUACCUUUAGUACAGAGACAUUGCCCACGGGAUGCCCAGAUGUGUUGCUGGGAGGCUUAUCUGAUGUCCCCGCAAGCUACAGCUUACAGAUGGAAGCUCACUCUGUCUCGCGGAUUCAAACUGGCAACCUUCGGGUCAGUAAUCUAACCUUCAGGUCAGCAGUUCACAUGGGUUUAAAGCAUUGCAUUACCAUGGCUUCUUUGUUGGAAGAUUAUAUGUGGCAGACUGCAAAGUCCCAGUCUCUAAGCCUCACACAUGCACUCAUCCAACUGUCAGCACUUUUGGUAACUAUUUAAAUAAACUUCUUGGUAUGGGGAAGUCUUAUUCAAGGAAGCCAAUAAUCUCAUAUACCCUUUCAAGAGCUCAAAAUGUUAUUUAUAAUAAGAAUAAAUGUGGUGGAGGCUCCUUCUUUGGAGGCUUUUAAGCAGAGGCUGGAUGGCCAUCUGUCGAGGGUUCUUUGAAUGCGAUUUUCCUGCUUCUUGGCAGGGGGUCUCUUCCAACUUUGUGAUUCUAUUAUUCUAAUAAGAAUAAUAAUAAUAAUAGUAAGUUACCAAUUGUUCUAUAUUUUAAUAACUCUCUCUGUGUAACUGCAGCCCCAGCUCCUAGAGUUGGGCAAGCAGGAACUCAGUAAGACGCAACAGGCAUUUUGUGUGACUUAUAGAGGGAGAUUUAAGGGACUGAAACAGGACUGGAGUUCUGUUUCAGUGUAUACUUAAAAGUAUUGAAAAUGGAUGGCGAGGAAGCUGCUUCACUCACCUACAACAGCUGUGGUAAAUUCCGUUUUUGCCAGAGGAUCUGUAUAAGAGACCAGUAUAAGAGAAAAGGCAGGGCUACUCAAUACCUUCUUUGCCUUGGUCUUCUCUCCCAAAAUAGAAGUGGUUCAACUUGGAAAAAAUGGAGCAGAUGAAAUACUGGGGCAGUUAGGAGUACCUUUGGGAGACAGGCAUGUUUAGCCAGGAAAAGAGAAGGUUAUGAGAUGACAUGAUAGCCAUAUUUAGAAAGGAUGUCAUAUUGAAGAUGGAGCCUGGGGGCAUCCAUCCAUAUGUGGCAAUGGAUUUAAGCUAUAGGAAACGUGACACCAGGUAAACAUUAGGAAGAACUUUCUGAUGUUAAGAACUGUUCAGCAAUAGAAUAUGCUGCUUUGGAAUGUGGUUGACUCUCAUUCUCUAUAGAUUUUUAACAUGGGCUGAAUGGCUAUCUGUUUAGCAUGCUUUGAAUGUGUAUUCCUGCAUGGCAGGGGGUUGAACUGAAUGACCCUUCUGGUCUCUUUCAACUCUAUGAUUCUAAAUGGCUUGUUUGUUUUGUUGUGUACCUUCAGCUUUUUCUGUCAGUUUCAGCUCCCCAUGCGGGGACAUGGGGGAAGCCUCCCAUAAGGAUGGGAAAACAUCAAAACAUUCGGGCAUCCCCUGGGCAACAUCCUUGCAGAUGGCCAAUUCUCUCACACCAGAAGCAACUUGAAGUUUCUCAAGUCGCUCCCGACACAUGCACACAUUUUUUCUGUUUUAUGUGUUUUUAUGGUGAGCCUCCGGUGGCUCAGUGUGUUAAAGCGCUGAGCUGCUGAACUUGCAGACUGAAAGGUCCCAGGUUCAAAUCCGGGGAGCGGAGUGAGCGCCCGCUGUUAGCUCCAGCUUCUGCCAACCUAGCAGUUCGAAAACAUGCAAAUGUGAGUAGAUCAAUAGGUACCGCUAUGGCGGGAAGGUAACGGUGUUCCCUGCCAUCAUGCCGGCCACAUGACCUUGGAGGUGUCUACGGACAAUGCCGGCUCUUCAGCUCAGAAAUGGAGAUGAGCACCAACCCCCAGAGUCGAACACGACUGGACUUAACGUCAGGGGAGACCUUUACCUUUACUACCUAAGGUGACCCUAUUAUGGAGAUUUCUUGGCAAAAUUUGUUGUGGGCAUGUUUGUAGGGAUGCUUCAAAAGGUUUCAUCAGAACUUGCACCCCCACCUGAGUUAUGAACCACAGUCAUAAGUCUCAGCAACAAAUACUUCACAAUGAAUUGAGCUGCCUAGAAAAGCUGCUGUUUAUUUCUCAUGUUCUUUGAUGUCUUUUAUUGGUUUGCCUAUUAUUUAUCUCUUUUACAAACUCACCCCCACAGCACACUUGCUUAUUUGUAAUUAUUUUGUAAGAUAACUGCGUGUCUUUGUGGCUGAUGUCCAAUUCUGGGCAUCACAGUUAAACAGAGAUAUUGACAAGCUGGAGGAUGUCCAGAGGAGGGCAACUAAAAUGACCAAAGGUCUGGAGACCAUAAAUCCCUAUGAGGAGUGUCUUAAGGAACUAGGAAUGUUUAGCCUGCAGAAAAGAAGGUUGAGAGGAGACAUGAUAGCCAUGUAUAAAUAUGUGAAAGGAUGUCAUAAAAAAGAGGAAGCAGGCUUGUUUUCUGCUGCCUUUGAAACUAGGACUCAGAUCAAUGGGUUCAAAUUACUGGAAAGGAGAUUCCACCUGAACAUUAGGAAGAACUUUCUGACUGUACGAGUCAUUCAACACUGGAACUCUCUGCCUCAGAGUGUGGUGGAAACUCCUUCCUUGGAAGCUUUUAAACAGAGGCUAGAUGGCCAUCUGUCAGGGUUAUUUUGAUUGUGCUUUUCCUGUAUGGCCCAUGUGGUCUCUUCCAACUCUAUUAUUCUAUGAUGAAUCCAUGGCCUUCUUUGGUAUUUCUUGCA